rnacentral:rRNA from 1 species
GACGAACGCUGGCGGCGCGCCUAACACAUGCAAGUCGAACGGAGCUUUGAGAGCUUGCUUUUAAAGCUUAGUGGCGAACGGGUGAGUAACGCGUGAGUAACCUGCCCUGGAGUGGGGGACAACAGUUGGAAACGACUGCUAAUACCGCAUAAGCCCACGGCCCGGCAUCGGGCUGAGGGAAAAGGAUUUAUUCGCUUCAGGAUGGACUCGCGUCCAAUUAGCUAGUUGGUGAGGUAACGGCCCACCAAGGCGACGAUUGGUAGCCGGACUGAGAGGUUGAACGGCCACAUUCGGGACUGAGAUACGGCCCAG